UUUAACAAAUAAAAGAAACAUUUAUAAGUGAUAUUUUAUUGAUGACCAAACAAUUUACAAAACUUGGUUGUAAUAUGUUUUGGGAAAGAAAUGGGAACAGCUUGAAAUGUUUUGAAAGAAGAGCCGGCAGUAAAAUUAGGAACGAUGUGUUUAUGACUUAAAUCCAAAUGGUUCGAAUGCCGGCAACCAUAUAUAUAUGUCCAGUACUCUUGUUCCAUCACUUACGGUGUAAUUUGGAUAUUUGUAUUGAACAUACAUUUUGUUUUGGAUAUCCCUGAGAGACUAAUUGCCUGAAUCUUAAAUGGAGUCAAAUAACAUUGCGAUGAUAACACGUCCCAUGUCAACAAUUCUGAAGAAGUACAAGAGAGAACUACAAACCAAACUGAGCAAAUAACUCAUAUGAAAGACCAUGGUAAAUAACGCUUACAACAUUGAGGACAAAAUCUUGACACAGAAAAGCAAUGGAUGAAAGUAAGAAAUUAAUGCUUUCCAAAAGCUCGAGCCUUUCUAUCACUGGAACUAUCCGAAAUCCAUAUGGAGCCCCCAGGCAAGUAGAUAUUUGCUUCUUUAUAGUAAUGAUUCGUAUCAUUGUCACGUAGACUUCCCUACAUAUCAUAACUGCAGUUUUGUUCUGUUGUAGGUGUUCACAAUUCAAUAAAAAUUCGAGCUAAGUAAGUAUUUGAAAAAGCAUCAGAUGUUUACUUUGUUCUUCCAACAAAGUAAGUAAAAAAAUUUGCUUACCAGAUUGCGAACUAAAUCAAAUAGAUAAAUUUGAGUACUGAGGAUGUAAGGUGACCUGACCUGACGUUGGCAAGUUUUUCACUUUAUCAUUAACAAUACCGAACUGCCAAUUAGGAUGAACAAUUGUUCAAAGGUUCAGUGUUAGUACCUACUAGAAGUAUACAUGACUCGCAAUUAUCCAUUAAGAGUCAUGACUCGUGCAAAGGAAAUUGACCCUAAAAUAAUACAUUAAAAAAAAUUCUUCUCUAAAAAAUUAUAUCUGAUUUUCAAGUGGAGUAUGUAUUUUUUCAGCACAGACAUAUUUGAGAAGUUAGACCAUUAUGCCAUAUGUCAUCAUAAGGCACACUAGCAUUAGCAGCUAUUUCAUCAUCAUCAUAAUAUAUGUUCUCCAAAGCCUAUUCUAACAAAUAGUCAUCUCAAACAGCGAAUUGCACCUCAAAAAUUCAAUAAAAAAAAGGUUGGGUUGGGUCAAUUUAAGUUUUCUUCUGCGAAUUUUAAUGACGCCGUGUCACAUAUUUGCUAUGUCGCAUGUCUUGGUCUUCUGUGAUGACAGUUCAAAGAGUUAAACACCUCUUCAUGAUGGAAAGCUUCACCUUAAGCCACUUGCCUAGAUGAAUUUGUAAAGAAGGGUUUUCAUUUCACAGUUUCCUUGAAGCGUUUCAAAAAAAACUUCUACUGUAACCUUACGAUAGGUAACUCUUAAUGUUUAUAACUAAUUUCUUGUCUCAUUGGUCAAUUUUAAAUGCACUCCAUACUUGACUUGUAGAACAAAUUGCUUUCCUACUUGAACUAUAUUUUUCAUCAUUAUAUCUUAAUCUUUUUUUGCAAAGUCGGAAGUAUUAGUUGGUUUACUAUAGAACAGUUCCGGUCUGUUUUCCUCGCAGGACUUUUCAUAAAAUUUUUCGCAGAAACAUGGCGGUUUUGAACAUUCCUAAAUAAAAAGGUAUUUUGCAUUUCCUGAAAAUCAAAAACGAUUUGUAUAAAUUUAUUUAUAAAAUAU